rnacentral:rRNA from 1 species
AUGUCAGAGGGUACAAGGUACCAAUCUACAAUUGAUGAGUGGGCUAGAUUGAUCAAUGCUCCAGAAGCUCAUGAAGAUGACUUGGAUUUCUAUGCCAAGAAGAAGAAGGAUCAUAACUCAAUGGCUAGCAUGUACAAGGAGAUUCCAGAUGAAGAUCUAGAGACUCACAAGUUUGGCUCAGUGAAGCACUUGCUGUCAGGGCUGCCUACUAUCAAUACCAUUCUGAGGCACACUCUGUUACCAAAAUCAGGAGAUCACAGAAUGAUAAGAGGACACUCGAUCAACUUGCUGCAUAUAUUUGAUGUCCCUCAAAAGUUCAAAGUGAUGAAUUUGAUUGUUGAGACAAUCAAGAGGACAUCUGCAGAUCAGAAGAGGUCUUGUGGGUAUGCUCCACAAAUUUAG